rnacentral:misc_RNA from 1 species
UACGUAGGGAGCGAGCGUUAUCCGGAUUCAUUGGGCGUAAAGAGCGCGUAGGCGGCCCCUCAAGCGGAACCUCUAACCUCCGGGCUCAACCCGGAGCCGGGUUCCGAACUGGGGGGCUCGAGUCUGGUAGAGGAGGAUGGAAUUCCCGGUGUAGCGGUGGAAUGCGCAGAUAUCGGGAAGAACACCGAUGGCGAAGGCAGUCCUCUGGGCCACGACUGACGCUGAGGCGCGAAAGCUGGGGGAGCGAACAGG